AACGCACGAGACCUGCGGACCUGCGGAGGGAUCAUUACUGAGUAACGUGGUCUUUUAGACCCGGUACCCGCCCUUUGUCAUAUGUUGGACGAGGUCGUCUUUAGGGGCGGCCUCCGACCCCACUUCCCGGGAAGCGUUGCGCCUCAUCAGGUCUAGGCCUUUGAUGAGGAUGGGACCGCCCGGGGUCUUUUUCAAACCCUUUGUGAGAAAUCUGAAGUCUGAAGCGAAAGCUUAAAAUAA
rnacentral:misc_RNA from 1 species